rnacentral:rRNA from 1 species
UGGGGGAUAUUGCACAAUGGGCGAAAGCCUGAUGCAGCAACGCCGCGUGAGUGAUGAAGGUCUUCGGAUUGUAAAGCUCUGUCUUUUGGGACGAUAAUGACGGUACCAAAGGAGGAAGCCACGGCUAACUACGUGCCAGCAGCCGCGGUAAUACGUAGGUGGCGAGCGUUGUCCGGAUUUACUGGGCGUAAAGGGUGCGUAGGCGGAUGUUUAAGUGAGAUGUGAAAUACCCGGGCUUAACUUGGGUGCUGCAUUUCAAACUGGAUAUCUAGAGUGCAGGAGAGGAGAAUGGAAUUCCUAGUGUAGCGGUGAAAUGCGUAGAGAUUAGGAAGAACACCAGUGGCGAAGGCGAUUCUCUGGACUGUAACUGACGCUGAGGCACGAAAGCGUGGGUAGCAAACAGGAUUAGAUACCCUGGUAGUCCACGCCGUAAACGAUGA